UGGGGAAUCUUCCGCAAUGGACGAAAGUCUGACGGAGCAACGCCGCGUGAGUGAUGACGGCCUUCGGGUUGUAAAGCUCUGUUAAUCGGGACGAAUGGUUCUUGUGCGAAUAGUGCAAGGAUUUGACGGUACCGGAAUAGAAAGCCACGGCUAACUACGUGCCAGCAGCCGCGGUAAUACGUAGGUGGCAAGCGUUGUCCGGAAUUAUUGGUCGUAAAGCGCGCGCAGGCGGAUUGGUCAGUCUGUCUUAAAAGUUCGGGGCUUAACCCCGUGAUGGGAUGGAAACUGCCAAUCUAGAGUAUCGGAGAGGAAAGUGGAAUUCCUAGUGUAGCGGUGAAAUGCGUAGAUAUUAGGAAGAACACCAGUGGCGAAGGCGACUUUCUGGACGAAAACUGACGCUGAGGCGCGAAAGCCAGGGGAGCGAACGGG
rnacentral:rRNA from 1 species